GACGAACGCUGGCGGCGUGCUUAACACAUGCAAGUCGAACGGAAAGGCCCUGCUUGCAGGGUACUCGAGUGGCGAACGGGUGAGUAACACGUGGGUGAUCUGCCCUGCACUUCGGGAUAAGCCUGGGAAACUGGGUCUAAUACCGGAUAGGAGCCAUUUUUAGUGUGAUGGUUGGAAAGUUUUUUCGGUGUAGGAUGAGCUCGCGGCCUAUCAGCUUGUUGGUGGGGUAAUGGCCUACCAAGGCGGCGACGGGUAGCCGGCCUGAGAGGGUGGACGGCCACAUUGGGACUGAGAUACGGCCCAGACUCCUACGGGAGGCAGCAGUGGGGAAUAUUGCACAAUGGGCGCAAGCCUGAUGCAGCGACGCCGCGUGGGGGAUGACGGCCUUCGGGUUGUAAACUCCUUUCGCUAGGGACGAAGCUUUUGUGACGGUAGCUAGAUAAGAAGCACCGGCUAACUACGUG
rnacentral:rRNA from 1 species